AGAUGGUGCCUAUGCUGUUGGUCUACAGGCUGUAUUUUAUAUAGCAGGGUUUGGUACAAUCUUUCUCAACCAGACCUGGAAGAGAAGUUGUAACAUGGCUGCUGCUCUGCAAGCUCACAUCCACUAUCCAGGCUGAAGCCAGAAGAAGUGGGAAGAGAAAAACCAAAGGACAGUGCCCUCUGUAAACCACUUUUAAAAAACGUUUCUCAGCAGGUUUCGUGGGUGGGAACAUUUUUUUGCCAGGUCAACGAACCCAAAUUUCUACAUUCAAAG
rnacentral:lncRNA from 1 species